UCUCCGUUGGUGAACCAGCGGAGGGAUCAUUACCGAGUUUACAACUCCCAAACCCCUGUGAACAUACCUAUACGUUGCCUCGGCGGAUCAGCCCGCGCCCCGUAAAACGGGACGGCCCGCCCGAGGACCCCUAAACUCUGUUUUUAGUGGAACUUCUGAGUAAAACAAACAAAUAAAUCAAAACUUUCAACAACGGAUCUCUUGGUUCUGGCAUCGAUGAAGAACGCAGCAAAAUGCGAUAAGUAAUGUGAAUUGCAGAAUUCAGUGAAUCAUCGAAUCUUUGAACGCACAUUGCGCCCGCCAGUAUUCUGGCGGGCAUGCCUGUUCGAGCGUCAUUUCAACCCUCAAGCUCAGCUUGGUGUUGGGACUCGCGGUAACCCGCGUUCCCCAAAUCGAUUGGCGGUCACGUCGAGCUUCCAUAGCGUAGUAAUCAUACACCUCGUUACUGGUAAUCGUCGCGGCCACGCCGUUAAACCCCAACUUCUGAAUGUUGACCUCGGAUCAGGUAGGAAUACCCGCUGAACUUAA
rnacentral:rRNA from 1 species